GCCCUGAGCACGCAGGAGCUCAGCGAGAGUUCACCAGGAGAAUGGGGGUGGAGGAGGAAGAACGUGCUCCGGAAGCCCCAGCGCGGCUGGAAGCCAUGUGGCCUCUCUGGGUCCUGGGCCAGAACAAGCGGACCAGCAAUCAUGGGGCGGAGGGACAGACACAGAGCAUCUGGCUUUGCAAAUAACAGCUUCCAGGGGAACGGCUUCACGUGAGCACACUGUGGAACCGAUGCGAGGAUGGAGGAAUGCUCCCUACUAUCACCCCAUCAGUCCGCCCACCAUGUCAGCUCCACUCCAAAGUCUUUGAAGACUCUUGAGAGUCCCUUGGACUGCAAGGAGAUCCAACCAGUCGAUCCUAAAGGAAAUCAGCCCUGAAUAUUCUUUGGAAGGACUGAUGCUGAAGUUGAAGUACCAGUACUUUGGCCACUUGAUGCGAAGAGCCAACUCACUGGAAAAGACCCUGAUGCUGGGAAUGAUUGAAGAGACCUGGGCUCCGUAUACCACAAAUGCCACUGGAAGAGACAAAGCCGGGAAGACGCUUCUAGUUCUUAGGCAUGGAAGACCCUGGGAAGGGACUGAAGGCCUCGUGAGCACAGAGUACUCAUCUCUCUUCUCCAUCCCUAAGGCUUGCCAUGGAAAGACCAGCUGGGUGGAUGCUCAAGGCUAAUUCAAAGCUGGCGGCAUUGGCCAGUCUCCCGCGCGCCUUCCAUGUAAGCUUCUAAGAGCUUGUUGGUACUGAAUCACCAUCACCGUAAUAUCUGAUAAUAGCUGCC
ensembl:lncRNA